rnacentral:lncRNA from 1 species
UAGAGGGAUUCCAUGAAAAUAAAUUAGUGGAAAGACUCAACCAGGGAACAGAAGGACAUCUGCAGGGGAAACGGGUAGAUCAGAACAAAACUGAAAUACUCGAACCAAGCAGGAACAACGAUUUCAAUAAGGAAAUAUGCACUCAAACUCGAUUGAGGAAGAAAAGAUAUUCAGUACAGGAGGAGCAAAAACAUAUUAUCCACUGCCGAUUACUGGGUAAGGAGAUAACAAAAAUCUGACAGGGAGGACAUUCG